rfam:Callipepla squamata strain Texas jcf7180005221147, whole genome shotgun sequence.
CCAAAGGCUCUUUUCAGAGCCACAAAAACGGGAGAAAAAGAGAGUCU